AGAGUUUGAUCCUGGCUCAGAGCGAACGCUGGCGGCAUGCUUAACACAUGCAAGUCUCACGGGCAGCAAUGUCAGUGGCGGACGGGUGAGUAACGCGUAGGAAUCUAUCUUUGGGUGGGGGAUAACUGUGGGAAACUACAGCUAAUACCGCAUGAAACCUUAGGGUCAAAGCAGCGAUGCGCCGAAGGAGGAGCCUGCGU
rnacentral:rRNA from 1 species